AUGUUGACAACAAAAGGGAAAACAGAAUUGUUACAACAAUUAUGAAGUAUGUUACUUUGUUCACGGUUUCUUAUAUAUUCGUAUCAAUAUUCGUUUUCACUCACAUUCAAGUAUUAGAUGUGGAAGCUCGCAAGAUCUGUAGAAUCGCGAAGGAGUACACUGGCAACCAUUGCCGCGAUGGAAACGAUUGCCUUUCAAAAUCAACCAUUCAUUAUAAAGCUCCCAAUCUACCUAAACCAUUUGAAUGCGCUUGCCAUAAUUAUAGGGAUGAUACGCCAAGUCUUAAUAAUGAUACGCCAAGUCUUAAUAAUGAUACGCCAAGUCCUAAUAAAACGUAUAUAUUUCAUCAUUGCAUCUGUUCCUUUUAUUGCUAAGUCUUAAUAAACAAAAUAGUAACUA